UACGGAGGUGGCAAGCGUUGUUCGGAUUCAUUGGGUGUAAAGGGCAUGUAGGCGGCCUUUUAAGUCGACUGUGAAAUCCCUUGGCUUAACCAAGGAACUGCAGUCGAUACUGAGAGGCUUGAGUACAGAAGAGGAGAACGGAAUUCCCGGUGUAAGGGUGAAAUCUGCAGAGAUCGGGAGGAACACCAGUGGCGAAGGCGGUUCUCUGGUCUGUUACUGACGCUGAAAUGCGAAAGCUAGGGGAGCAAACAGG
rnacentral:misc_RNA from 1 species